AACGAACGCUGGCGGCAUGCCUAACACAUGCAAGUCGAACGAGACCUUCGGGUCUAGUGGCGCACGGGUGCGUAACGCGUGGGAACCUGCCCUUAGGUUCGGAAUAACUCCCCGAAAGGGGUGCUAAUACCGGAUAAUGUCUUCGGACCAAAGAUUUAUCGACUUUGGAUGGGCCCGCGUUGGAUUAGCUAGUUGGUAGGGUAAAAGCCUACCAAGGCGACGAUCCAUAGCUGGUCUGAGAGGAUGAUCAGCCACACUGGGACUGAGACACGGCCCAGAAUCCUACGGGAGGCAGCAGUGGGGAAUAUUGGACAAUGGGCGAAAGCCUGAUCCAGCAAUGCCGCGUGAGUGAUGAAGGCCUUAGGGUUGUAAAGCUCUUUUACCCGGGAUGAUAAUGACAGUACCGGGAGAAUAAGCUCCGGCUAACUCCGUG
rnacentral:rRNA from 1 species